UCUGCGUCGCUCACGCUGGGAGCUGUAGACCGGAGCUGUUCCUAUUCGGCCAUCUUGGCUCCUCCGCCUCAGAGGUAUUAUCGCUUCAGUUCCAGAUCACCACAGUAAAUACUGCAAUACACCAGGUGCAAGUUGAUAAAAGAAUUCUGGAAAUUGAAGGCCAAGGAAGAGUGACUCAAAAAUAAGAAGCAGGCUGAAAAAUGAGAUGAGGAGACCGAGGCUCGGAGAGGCUUAUGCAUUUGCCCAAGACUCUACAACUCCACAACUUAACAGGCAAUUGCAUCUAGCAUAUAAUGUGUUGGUUAUCCCCAGAACACAGAGCAGUGCAUCUCCACAGCGAGAAUUCCAGAACAGGGUAAUCAUCAAGAAUCAAAUGGCUUGGAUCUGGUCUCUUCUCUUUGAGGAAGCAAGCAGGCAUGGAGGUGAGUCAGGCCAUUGGAAGAUUUCCUGUGGCUGAUGAAGAAUCCAACUCCAGGUUGCUCUUCUUUGAAGAGGAUUCCAGAAAUGCUUAGGGGCUGCUUGUUUGGACUGUAGGAGCUUAGCUGAGCACCAAGCACCAGCAGGAAUCAGAGAAUGGUGGCUUCCAUCCUCUGCGCACAGCAGCAAGGAAGGCAUGUUGUGUGCUUCCAGCUCAAGCCGGCUCUGUGUUUUAGGCCAACCAACACAAUUCAUAUAACAUCCUUGCACAUUUCCACCAUUUCCCGCCUCACCAUGCCUCAGAGGACUACAGGCUCCCCAAGACGGGACAUGGUUGGGCAGGUACCGGAUAGAUGCUGUCACUGCUGAAAAAGAAAAAAAUAUCCAAAGUAUUCACGUUGUACCUGCUGAGUGCCAGUACUGCAUGCUCUGGGGAUUCCAUUCCUGCCCCUAUGGAAGAGGGGUCAACUUUUCCAAAACAUCAUCUUCUAGAGGAAGAAGCUGAAGCCCAGCAAGGAAAAGUAACAUAACGAAGAUCUCAGCAGAAUGACGGUUAUCUGAGCAUCUAUAUUCUGGGGUUGCAAAAAGAACAAGAACGUAGGGUUCAAUGGACCUGAGUUCCAGGCCUCACUCUGUCACCAGCUGACUGUAAGAAGCCCACCCACCUCCACCUUCUCUAGAUCACAUGUUUUAUGGCCGCCUCAAAGGCGUGAAGCAGGUGAGUCGUGCUGCCUCUGCCAACAUCUGCUUUGUGAGCCUGGGAGUAUUUCACGGAGAUGUUUCUCUCGACAGGUUUAUGGCUGGUCUUGGCUCAGUGCCUUGAAAACACUGAUCAUGUGAUGAAACGAGAAUGUCAUGCUGCGGGCCAUCAAUAAACCACACUGGCAUUCCCGCUCCCACCCCGACACCACUCCACCCAUGCAAUUUCCCUCCCCUUCAGCCUCCUCCCUCCCCACCUCCCAAAGAUAUCCAGACCAGGCCAACUCAUUAGGAAGUGACAUCCACCAGGAUUCUUGGCCCCAGUCAAAAGAGUGGCCAGAGCUUGUCUGCUGCUUGCGGAUACUUUUCUGUUUUGUGUUAAACGUUUGAGUUUGGAAAUGAGCAAGAGCUAUGUCUAAGGGAAACCAGACAGCUUGUUUGAAAAUCCACUAAAUGGCCAUCGGAGGAUCAUGCCAGAUCUUAGAACAAAGUCUCAGUUAUUGCCUGAAAGCAUAAACUUUCAGGCAAGGCAUCUUCUCCAUGCUCCUCAGCAUCUGCAGAGUAGCAGAGACUUGAAAGAGAUGUGUCCUCUGGAUCCCACGUCAGAUGAUACAUCUUGGGAUUUCCCUACCUGGGGGAAGAGUGGGUUUUCCUGAGGAAAUUGCAAGUGGGCCUGAGUUUCUAGAGUGUGAGGUGAAAUGGAUGCCACUGUACUGAAUUCUGACCAAAACUCUGGAGAGAUGCUGCGAAGGAACUCAGCUUCCACUGAAAGGGUCAGUGAAGGCUUCAAGGACAGUAUCACAGCACUUUCCUAUCACUUCUAUAAAAAUCACAUCCACUUUUUCCCACCAACUUGCCCAUUCUCCUUGUCUGGGACACAGGCCCUGGUACUUUACAUUCAGGUCAUUUCCAAGGGAUAGAGAGAAAUAGACAGAGGCUGAAAGAGUGAUGGGGCCGGGAGACGCUGAGAUCAUUCAACUACCAAUGCCAUUCUGAA
rnacentral:lncRNA from 1 species